CCCAGGAGUAGGCAACUGCCUAGGCUGUCUUGUACCUAGGCAAGUGUUACACUGCUGGGGAAAAGCAGCUAAUAGCUGGCAGGCAUUCUGGGUCUGGUUAAUGCCAAAUUUGUGCUAACUAUACCCAUGUGCCAGCAUAGUUGCCUAUUCUAUUUACUUUAAGGUAUGUGGGGAAGGCAGGGACUGC
ensembl:snoRNA SNORA74 Small nucleolar RNA SNORA74